rnacentral:rRNA from 1 species
UACGUAGGGUGCGAGCGUUAAUCGGAAUACUGGGCGUAAAGCGUGCGCAGGCGGUUGUGCAAGACAGAGGUGAAAUCCCCGGGCUUAACCUGGGAAUGGCCUUUGUGACUGCACGGCUAGAGUGUGUCAGAGGGGGGUAGAAUUCCACGUGUAGCAGUGAAAUGCGUAGAGAUGUGGAGGAAUACCGAUGGCGAAGGCAGCCCCCUGGGAUAACGACUGACGCUCAUGCACGAAAGCGUGGGGAGCAAACAGG